rnacentral:snoRNA from 1 species
AAAUAUAAUUUGACAGAGCUGGAGCAGUUAUGUCUGCUUUUAAGGUUUCCACUAAGAUGCAAGAAAAAAAUUUCCUCGCGCUCCCUCUGCUUGAUUAUGGCAGACUAGAUUGAAUAGGGGAAUACAAGA